rnacentral:rRNA from 1 species
UACGGAGGGUGCAAGCGUUGCUCGGAAUUAUUGGGCGUAAAGGGUAUGUAGGUGGUCUCAUUUGUCUGGGGUGAAAGCCUUGAGCUUAACUCAAGAAGUGCCCCAGAAACGGUGAGACUAGAGUCCUGGAGAGGGUCGUGGAAUUCCCGGUGUAGCGGUGAAAUGCGUAGAGAUCGGGAGGAACACCAGAGGCGAAGGCGGCGACCUGGACAGGUACUGACGCUGAGACGCGAAAGCGUGGGGAGCGAACAGG